GACGAACGCUGGCGGCGUGCUUAACACAUGCAAGUCGAACGGAAAGGCCCUGCUUUUGUGGGGUGCUCGAGUGGCGAACGGGUGAGUAACACGUGAGUAACCUGCCCUUGACUUUGGGAUAACUUCAGGAAACUGGGGCUAAUACCGGAUAGGAGCUCCUGCUGCAUGGUGGGGGUUGGAAAGUUUCGGCGGUUGGGGAUGGACUCGCGGCUUAUCAGCUUGUUGGUGGGGUAGUGGCUUACCAAGGCUUUGACGGGUAGCCGGCCUGAGAGGGUGACCGGCCACAUUGGGACUGAGAUACGGCCCAGACUCCUACGGGAGGCAGCAGUGGGGAAUAGUGCACAAUGGGCGGAAGCCUGAUGCAGCAACGCCGCGUGCGGGAUGACGGCCUUCGGGUUGUAAACCGAUUUCGCCUGUGACGAAGCGUGAGUGACGGUAAUGGGUAAAGAAGCACCGGCUAACUACGUG
rnacentral:rRNA from 1 species